UACGGAGGGAGCUAGCGUUGUUCGGAAUUACUGGGCGUAAAGCGCACGUAGGCGGCUAUUCAAGUCAGAGGUGAAAGCCCAAGGCUCAACCUUGGAACUGCCUUUGAUACUGUUUGGCUUGAGACCGGUAGAGGUAAGUGGAAUUCCGAGUGUAGAGGUGAAAUUCGUAGAUAUUCGGAAGAACACCAGUGGCGAAGGCGGCUCACUGGACUGGUAUUGACGCUGAGGUGCGAAAGCGUGGGGAGCGAACAGG
rnacentral:rRNA from 1 species